rnacentral:lncRNA from 1 species
GCUCUGACUAGUUCAGGGAGUUGGGAAAAGCUUUCGUGAAGAAAUGAUUGGUAGAUGUGAAGUGUAGUAGGCAAGGUGUGUGGGGUUGGCAGGGCCAACCCAGUUUUCUCAGGCAAAGGUGGAUGCCUGAGGUGGGAGAGCUGAGAGAAGGUGAGUAGGGCUGGAACUGAGACCCAGGAGCUCAGCAUGGGGGAGAUUGGCAAGGUAGCUGGGUAGCAGACCCCCUCAUAGUACUGGGUAGGGGGUUUACUAUUUACCCUAAGAGCAGUGGGAAGCCAUUGAAGAGUUUUAAGCAGGGGGCUAACAGUCUGAGGUGCACUUUGAAGAGCUUGUUAUAGCUGCUGAUUGGAGUGGAUGUGGGGAAAACAGUUGGGAGGCCACUGCAAUUAGAUGAAAAAAGAUGGUGGCUUGGGCAAGAUGGGUGGUGGAAAAGGAAAUGGAGAGAAAUGGAUAGAUUCAAGAAAUCUUGAGGAGGUAAAGUUAACAAGACUUGGUGAUUUAUUGGCAAGGAAGAGGGAGUUGUGGAGAGUGACUCAUAGGUUUCCAUUUGGACAAUUGAAUGGUGUGGUGCCAGUCUCUGAGACGCUUCUGAGGCUCCCCUGGAGCCUGGUAGGACCCAAAGAUGUUAGAGAGGCUCCUGAGGCAGCUUGAGAUGGGAAAGUGUGACACAGAAAAU